UCUUGCAGGUAACCUGCUGUUCCUGGCUGUGGUCAGCCAUUUUGGGGCGAAGCUGCACCGGCCCAGGCUGAUUGCUAUGGGCUGUUUCCUAACGGCUGUAGGAUCCUUCCUCACAGGCCUGCCACACUUCUUCAUGGGACGAGAAGGGAUUAAGAGAUGCAGAGAAGAGACCAGAAGAUGAAGCAGUGGUUCCAACCAGUGUCCACCCCUCAAGGGCCCACUUAACUGCCAAGAGCUCCCGGUUGCCUACAUCGUAGUUCCCUUCCGCUGGCGAGAACCGCUUGGAGAGUGUUGGGGAAUAAUCAGAAUUGGUUGGUAACAUAGAGGAAAUUUCCACGACAAGAGAAAGGCGCAUGGGUGCAGUUCCUUGUCCUCAUUCCGCUGUGAAAGGACCGCACCAGAUCCGGUGUCCGAGGCGUCCACCUCUACCACAAAGGGACGAGUAGGAUCAGGAUGAACGAGGAUGGGUCCGAAGGUGAAACGUCCCUUAAGCUCUAUGAAUGCCCUGUCAGCCUCGGGAUUCCUGCAAAAACCUGCUUGAGUGAGGUGGGAUAGGGCCGUAUGUGUUCCGGAAGAGUUUUUGGAGAAGAUCAGGAUGUCGUCGAGGUAAACAAAGGCGAACCGGUUCAACAUAUCCCUAAGAGUGUCAUUGAUCAAUGCUUGAAAGACUGCCAUUGAGUUCGAUAUUCUGAAGGACUAAAUACUCAGUCACCACUAGGGGUGUUAAAGACAGUUUUCCACCCAUCUCCCUCCCUGAUUCUCACCAGAUUUUAAGCGUUGCGUAGGUCCAGUUUGGUGAAGAAUUGGGCUCCUAGGGCCAACUCCAAGGCAGCGGACAUUGGGUAGGGGGGAACAAUUCUUGAUCGUAAUCCUUUUUAGCCCUCUGUAAUCGAUGCAAGGACUGAAGUUUGGGUCAGAGACAGAGAGACAAGGGAUGCAUUUAGACAGGCAGCCCAAUUAUGAUAUUUUUUCCACUAAUAGGUCUUUUGAACAAUCGCAUUAGAUAUUUUCGCAUCAGCUGUUUUUCAGAGCAUAUCUGAUUGCUCAAAAUACAAAUUACUCAAAAAAAUUACUGAAUUGGGCUGCUUGUCUCAACGAAGCCAUAGAAACCUGGACAUGCUCCAGCUGAAAUGUUCCCUCCUGUCAGUACUGAUGUUGAAUGGCAUUAAAUACACUUUUUUUGUUCUCUCCCAUCCCCUGUAGUUUUGUUGAACAUGAGUGGAAAUGAAACUCCAGCACACUGGUAGCACUAAAGACGUCUGAGUAUAACUUU